UACGUAGGGUGCGAGCGUUAAUCGGAAUUACUGGGCGUAAAGCGUGCGCAGGCGGCUAUUUAAGCUUGCUGUGAAAGCCCCGGGCUUAACCUGGGAACUGCAGUGAGGACUGGAUGGCUGGAGUGUGGCAGAGGGGGGUGGAAUUCCAGCGUGUAGCAGUGAAAUGCGUAGAGAUGUGGAGGAACACCGAUGGCGAAGGCAGCCCCCUGGGCUAACACUGACGCCUCAGGACGAAAGCGUGGGGAGCAAACAGG
rnacentral:rRNA from 1 species